rnacentral:rRNA from 1 species
ACGGGGUGCAGCAGGCGCGAAACCUCCACAAUGCGCGAAAGCGUGAUGGGGUUAUCCCGAGUGCCGUCCGAUGAGGAUGGCUUUUAAUCGAUGUAAGGAUUCGAUAGAAUAAAGGGGGGGCAAGACUGGUGUCAGCCGCCGCGGUAAUACCAGCCCCCUGAGUGGUAAGGACGAUUAUUUGGCCUAAAGCGUUCGUAGCCGGCUUAUCAAGUCUUCUGUUAAAUCCAACGAUUUAAUCGUUGGGCCGCAAAAGAUACUGUUAUGCUAGAGGACGGGAGAGGUCGACGGUAGUCCAGGGGUAGGGGUGAAAUCCUAUAAUCCUUGUUGGACCACCAGUGGCGAAGGCGUCAGACUGGAACGCGCCUGACGGUGAGGGACGAAAGCCAGGGGAGCGAACCGGAUUAGAUACCCGGGUAGUCCUGGCCGUAAACGAUGCAUACUAGGUGAUGGCACGGCCAUGAGCCGUGUCAGUGCCGUAGGGAAACCGUUAAGUGUGCCGCCUGGGAAGUACGGUCGCAAGGCUAAAACUUAAAGGAAUUGGCGGGGGAGCACCACAAGGGGUGAAGCCUGCGGUUCAAUUGGACUCAACGCCGGAAAACUUACCAGGGGAGACAGCAGUAUGACGGUCAGGUUGACGACCUUACCUAACGAGCUGAGAGGAGGUGCAUGGCCGUCGCCAGUUCGUGCCGUGAGGUAUCCUGUUA